rnacentral:rRNA from 1 species
GAUGAACGCUAGCGAUAGGCUUAACACAUGCAAGUCGAGGGGCAGCACAAGGUAGCUUGCUAUCUGGGUGGCGACCGGCGCACGGGUGCGUAACGCGUAUGCAACUUGCCCUAUACAGGAGGAUAACCCGUCGAAAGACGGACUAAUACUGCGUAUGCUCACAACUUGGCAUCAAGUGGUGAGGAAAGAAAUUCGGUAUAGGAUAGGCAUGCGUCCCAUUAGCUUGUUGGUGAGGUAACGGCUCACCAAGGCAACGAUGGGUAGGGGAACUGAGAGGUUUAUCCCCCACACUGGUACUGAGACACGGACCAGACUCCUACGGGAGGCAGCAGUGAGGAAUAUUGAUCAAUGGGCGCGAGCCUGAACCAGCCAGGUCGCGUGAAGGAUGACUGUCUUAUGGAUUGUAAACUUCUUUUAUGCGGGAAUAACAAGAGUCACGUGUGACUCCCUGCAUGUACCGUAUGAAUAAGCAUCGGCUAACUCCGUG